rnacentral:rRNA from 1 species
CGAACGGCAGCACAGAGAGAGCUUGCUCCUUGGGUGGCGAGUGGCGGACGGGUGAGGAAUACAUCGGGAAUCUACUUUUUCGUGGGGGAUAACGUAGGGAAACUUACGCUAAUACCGCAUACGACCUACGGGUGAAAGCAGGGGACCUUCGGGCCUUGCGCGAUUGAAUGAGCCGAUGUCGGAUUAGCUAGUUGGCGGGGUAAAGGCCCACCAAGGCGACGAUCCGUAGCUGGUCUGAGAGGAUGAUCAGCCACACUGGAACUGAGACACGGUCCAGACUCCUACGGGAGGCAGCAGUGGGGAAUAUUGGACAAUGGGCGCAAGCCUGAUCCAGCCAUACCGCGUGGGUGAAGAAGGCCUUCGGGUUGUAAAGCCCUUUUGUUGGGAAAGAAAUCCAGCUGGCUAAUACCCGGUUGGGAUGACGGUACCCAAAGAAUAAGCACCGGCUAACUUCGUGCCAGCAGCCGCGGUAAUACGAAGGGUGCAAGCGUUACUCGGAAUUACUGGGCGUAAAGCGUGCGUAGGUGGUCGUUUAAGUCCGUUGUGAAAGCCCUGGGCUCAACCUGGGAACUGCAGUGGAUACUGGGCGACUAGAGUGUGGUAGAGGGUAGCGGAAUUCCUGGUGUAGCAUGAAAUGCGUAGAGAUCAGGAGGAACAUCCAUGGCGAAGGCAGCUACCUGGACCACACUGACACUGAGCACGAAAGCGUGGGGAGCAAACAGGAUUAAUACCCUGGUAUUCCACGCCCUAACGAUGCCAACUGGAUUGUUGGUGCAAUUUGGCACGCAGUAUCCGAAGCUAACCCGUUAGUUUCGCCGCCUGGGGAGUACGG